ensembl:lncRNA
ACAAACAUUAGCUUGCCAGAGAGACAUGAAGGGUUCUGACAUUGUAUAGAGUGGAUGAGAUUCAUCUACGCCUAGGGGACUCCAGUGUAGGUGUCAGGAGGACCCGGCUUCAAGUGCCAAUCCUGGCCCAUACCUGGGGAAAGUCACUUUACUUUGCAUUACCCCCCGGAGACUCCAAGUCUGUAAAGGGUGGAGCAGGCACCACUAUGCAUAAGGGAAGGAGCUUACUCUCCUGAAAGUUCCCUAAACCAAUGAAAUCACAGGUACAAACCCCUAUCAAAAUCCUCCUCCUCCUCCUCCUCAUCAUCAUCAUCAUCACCAUCACCAUCAUCAUGGUCAUCAUCAUCAUCACUGUCGUCAUCAUCAUCACCAUCAUCACCACCAUCAUCACCACCAUCAUCAUCCUCAUCACCACCAUCAUCACCACCAUCAUCAUCACCACCAUCAUCAUCAUCAUGGUCAUCAUCAUUAUCACUGUCGUCAUCAUCAUCACCAUCAUCACCACCAUCAUCAUCCUCAUCACCACCAUCAUCACCACCAUCAUCAUCACCACCAUCAUCAUCAUCAUGGUCAUCAUCAUUAUCACUGUCAUCAUCAUCAUCACCAUCAUCACCACCAUCAUCAUCAUCACUGUCGUCAUCAUCAUCACCAUCAUCAUCCUCAUCACCACCAUCAUCACCACCAUCACCAUCAUCAUGGUCAUCAUCAUUAUCACUGUCAUUGUCAUCAUCACCAUCAUCAUCCUCAUCACCACCAUCACCAUCAUCAUGGUCAUCAUCAUCAUCAAUCACUGUCAUCAUCAUCACCACCAUCAUCAUCCUCAUCACCACCAUCAUCACCACCAUCAUCAUCAUCAUGGUCAUCAUCGUUAUCACUGUCAUCAUCAUCAUCACCAUCAUCACCACCAUCAUCACCACCAUCAUCAUCAUCAUGGUCAUCAUCAUUAUCACUGUCAUUGUCAUCAUCACCAUCAUCACCACCAUCAUCAUCAUUGUCGUCAUCAUCACCACCAUCAUCAUCCUCAUCACCACCAUCAUCACCAUCAUCAUCAUUAUCACUGUCAUCAUCAUCAUCAUCAUUGUCAUCAUCAUCACCACCAUCACCAUCAUCAUGGUCAUCAUCAUUAUCACUGUCGUCAUCAUCAUCAUCACCAUCAUCACCACCAUCAUCAUCCUCAUCACCACCAUCAUCACCACCAUCAUCAUCAUCAUGGUCAUCAUCGUUAUCACUGUCAUCAUCAUCAUCAUCAUCAUCACCACCAUCAUCACCACCAUCAUCAUCAUCAUCACCACCAUCAUCAUCAUCAUCACCAUCAUCAUCAUCACCAUCAUCAUCAUCAUUGUCGUCAUCAUCACCACCAUCAUCAUCCUCAUCACCACCAUCACCAUCAUCAUGGUCAUCAUCAUUAUCACUGUCGUCAUCAUCAUCAUCACCAUCAUCACCACCAUCAUCAUCAUCACCAUCAUCAUCCUCAUCACCACCAUCACCAUCAUCAUCAUCAUUAUCACUGUCGUCAUCAUCAUCACCAUCAUCAUCAUCACUGUCGUCAUCAUCAUCACCAUCAUCACCACCAUCAUCAUCCUCAUCACCACCAUCAUCACCACCAUCAUCAUCAUCAUGGUCAUCAUCGUUAUCACUGUCAUCAUCAUCAUCACCAUCAUCACCACCAUCAUCAUCCUCAUCACCACCAUCAUCACCACCAUCAUCAUCAUCAUGGUCAUCAUCAUUAUCACUGUCAUCAUCAUCACCACCAUCAUCAUCAUCAUGGUCAUCAUCGUUAUCACUGUCAUCAUCAUCAUCACCAUCAUCACCACCAUCAUCACCACCAUCAUCAUCAUCAUGGUCAUCAUCAUUAUCACUGUCAUUGUCAUCAUCACCAUCAUCACCACCAUCAUCAUCCUCAUCACCACCAUCAUCACCACCAUCAUCAUCAUCAUGGUCAUCAUCAUUAUCACUGUCAUCAUCAUCACCACCAUCAUCAUCAUCAUGGUCAUCAUCGUUAUCACUGUCAUCAUCAUCAUCACCAUCAUCACCACCAUCAUCACCACCAUCAUCAUCAUCAUGGUCAUCAUCAUUAUCACUGUCAUUGUCAUCAUCACCAUCAUCACCACCAUCAUCAUCCUCAUCACCACCAUCAUCACCACCAUCAUCAUCAUCAUGGUCAUCAUCAUUAUCACUGUCAUCAUCAUCAUCACCAUCAUCACCACCAUCAUCAUCCUCAUCACCACCAUCAUCAUCCUCAUCACCACCAUCAUCACCAUCAUCAUCAUUAUCACUGUCAUCAUCAUCAUCAUCAUUGUCAUCAUCAUCACCACCAUCAUCAUCAUCAUUGUCGUCAUCAUCAUCACCAUCAUCAUCCUCAUCACCACCAUCAUCACCACCAUCAUCAUCAUCAUGGUCAUCAUCAUUAUCACUGUCAUCAUCCUCAUCACCACCAUCAUUGUCAUCCUCAUCACCACCAUCAUCACCAUCAUCAUCAUUAUCACUGUCAUCAUCAUCAUCAUCAUUAUCACUGUCGUCAUCACCAUCAUCAUUCUCAUCAUCAUCAUCAUUGUCAUCAUCAUCAUCACCAUCAUCAUCAUUACUAUUAUAACAACAAUAACUGUUAUUAUUACAGCCUAGUUUAGUGGAUGUGGGUUAACGUCCUACUUCUGACAUCUAUCGGCUGUGUCUCCCUGGGCAAGUCAUUUAACCCCUUAGUGCCCCCAAGAGACAUCUAAUACUAUAAGUUGCAGAGGCUAACCUGCAUUGGUAGAAAGUGUUUCUCCUCAGGAAUUCCCUGGAUCAAUUUGUUCACAGGUCUGGUCCCCAAAAC